AUGAAAUGAUGAAACAAAACAGUUCUGCUUCUGAAUUUAUUUUGAUGAUAACUAUGCCCAACUGAUCU
rnacentral:snoRNA from 17 species